rnacentral:rRNA from 1 species
CGACCGUCUCAGUUCGGAUCGCAGGCUGCAACCCGCCUGCGUGAAGUCGGAAUCGCUAGUAAUCGCGGAUCAGCAUGCCGCGGUGAAUACGUUCCCGGGCCUUGUACACACCGCCCGUCACACCAUGAGAGCCGGUAACACCCGAAGUCAGUAGCCUAACCGCAAGGGGGGAGCUGCCGAAGGUGGAGCCGGUAACUGGGGUGAAGUCGUAACAAGGUACC